rnacentral:rRNA from 2 species
CGGCGGACGGGUGAGUAACACGUGGGUAACCUGCCCGUAAGACUGGGAUAACUCCGGGAAACCGGGGCUAAUACCGGAUAAGAUUUUCUACUUCAUGGUUCAUAAUUGAAAGGUGGUUUCGGCUGUCACUUAUGGAUGGACCCGCGUCGCAUUAGCUAGUUGGUGAGGUAACGGCUCACCAAGGCAACGAUGCGUAGCCGACCUGAGAGGGUGAUCGGCCACACUGGGACUGAGACACGGCCCAGACUCCUACGGGAGGCAGCAGUAGGGAAUCUUCCGCAAUGGACGAAAGUCUGACGGAGCAACGCCGCGUGAGUGAUGAAGGCUUUCGGGUCGUAAAACUCUGUUGUUAGGGAAGAACAAG